CUUCAGACAGCAGACGGACUUCUGAGGAGGAACAUCAGCACCACACGAGAGGUUUUAGAGGAGGACGAGUGGACGUCUCGUCUGUGGCGGUAGAGGACGAUGAGUGGACGUCUCGCCUGUGGCGGUUUGGCAGCACUGGGGUUUGGCUCUGAAGCUGGAAACACACCUGCUCCCCGUCAGAAGAAAUGGUUGGAUCUGUUUUAUAAGAGUGAGAAAUGUCCAGUGCAGGUCCACGGCCAGUCGAAACUUUCCGGUGGACCACAGAAACGUCUUUGUGGAUUCCACCCUCCUAAAGUGUUCAUGUCAGACUUUCAGGUGAUCAUCUCUUUCAUGUCACGUCACUGUGGACCUGCACAACUAUAUUUGUGACCACACUCAUGUGCUUUAAAUGUCCUCUGCUGUGGGAUGCAGAAAUACUUGUUGCAAUAUUUAUUUUUAUUUACAAAAUCUCAAUAAAGUGAUGUUUAUGUAACAAAAUGCACUGGAAGAAAGACAGACAGGCAAAAGUUCACCAAGCAGAGCUUCUUUAUUUUCUUUCGUUUUCACCCUGGCGUUUUCCUUUCCAGUGCUCACACCAGGGUUCUCGUGUUUCUCCUCUUUAUUGGCGUCACCAGACUGAAACAGAGCUCUGAGUAGUCUCAUCAGCUGCAGGUGUUUCUUACCGCUCGU